CCAUCACCUGAAUAGCAUACAUAGUACCUACUAGCCAAUUUCUUAUCAUCCUCCUCCCUCCAAGUCUCCGUGAUCUAUCAUUCCACUCUCUAUACCCAUGUACCACAGUGUCUUGAUUACUAUAGCCGUAUAUAGUAAGCCUUUACCUUGGGAAGAGUGAUUCCCCCCAAUCUAUUCUUUAUGAAAGUCACUUCAGCUACUCUAGUUCCUUUGCCUUUCCAUAUAAAUUUUAGAGAAGCUUUUCUAUGUCUAUGAAAAUCCCUGCUGAGAUUUUGAUAGGAAUUUCAUUAGCCUGUAGAUCAAUUUGGGGAUAACUGACAUCUUUACUAUGUUGAGUCUUUUAACGCAUAACACAGUAUGUCUCUGGAAUUAUUAAGGUCUUCUCUGAGUUCUUUCCUCAGUGUUUUAUAAUUUUCAACAUACAGAUCCUUGCAUGUUUUGUUAAGUUUAUACUUGCUCUUUGGCACAAGUAUGAAUGGUAUUGUGUUCUUUAUUUAGAUUUCCACAUUGUUAGUAUAUAGAUAUAUGAUUGAUUUUUGUGUGUUUAUCUGGUAUCAUAUGACCUUACUGAAUUCAGUGAUUAGUUCUACAAGGGUGUUUUUUUUAAAAAAAAGAUUCCCUGUGAUUUUUAUGUAAACAAUGAAGUCUUUUGCAAAUCAAGACAGUUUUCACUUGGUCCUUUUCAAUCUAUAUACCUUUUAUUUCCUUUUCUUGCCUUGCUGUGCUAGAGCUAUUUUCUCCCUUUCUUGCCACUGUACUGGAUAGAACUUCCAGUAUAAUAUUGAAUUGAGGUAGUGAGAACAGUCAGUUAUGUAAUCCCAGCACUCUAGGAGGCCGAAGCAGGAGGAUCACCUGAGGUCACGUGUUCAAGACCUGCCUGGUCAACAUGGUGAAACACCAUCUUGAUGUUGUGGUGUUUUGCCCUUGUAGUCCCAGCUACUCAGGAGGCUGAGGCACAAGAAUCACUUGAACCCAGGAGGCAGAGGUUGCAGUGAGCCAAGAUGAUGCCACUGCACUCCAAUCUGGGUGACAGAGUGAGAUUCUGUCUCAAGAGGAAGAAGGAGGAGGAGGAGGAGGAGGAGGAGAGGAAGAGAAGAAGAAGAGGAGAGAACGGAUGUGCUUGCCUUGUUCUGACUUGAGAAAGAAAUCAGUCUUUCACCAUUAUGUAUAAUGCCAGUUGUAGGUUUUUUUGUAGAUGUUCUUUAUGAAGUUAAGGAAGUUCCCCUCUAUUUCUAGUGUACUGAGAGUUUUUAAUUUGGCUGGGUGUGGUGGCUUAUGCCUGUAAUCUCAGCAAUUUUGGGAGGCUGAGGUGGGUAGAUUGCCUGAGCUCAAGAGUUCAAGACCAACCCAGACAACAUGGUGAAACCUUGUCCCUACAAAAAAUUAGCCAGGCACGAUGGCACACACCUACAGGACCAGCUACUGGGAGAACUGAGGAGGGAGGAUAACUUCAACCCAGGAGGUCAAGGCUGCAGUGAACCAUGUUUGUGCCACUGCACUCCAGCCUGGGUGACAAAGUGAGACCUUGUCUCAAAAACAAAAAAGUUGAAUGUUAUUAAAUGCUUUUUCUGUGCCAGUUGAUAUGGUCAAUGAUUUCAGUCUGCUGAUAUGGUGGAUUAUAUUGAUGAAUUUUAAAAUAUUGAACUGUAUAUGUGGGAAUGAAUCCCAGAGUACAGUUCUUUUCUACAUUGUUGGAUUCAUUUGGCUAAUAUUUUGUGGUGGUUUCUGUGUCUAAGUCCAUGAAAGAUAUUCAUCUAUAGUUUUCUUGCUUUGUUCUGUCUGGUUUUGUUAUCCUUCUGGGACUCUGAUGAUAUGAAUGUUGGAUCCUUUGUUAUUUCCAAUAGGUCCCUGAGGCCCUAUCCAGUUUUUUUUCAGUCUAUUUUCCCUCUUUUGUUCAGGCUGGGUAAAUUCUAUUGAUCUAUACACAUGUUUACUGAUUCUGUCCUCUGCCAUCUCUAUUCUAUAAUUGAUCCUAUCCAGCAAUUUUUAAAAAUAUUUUUCAGUUCUGUAAUUUUCAUUUGCUUCUUUUAAAAGUGUGAACAGGUGUUUUAAUCAUGUAUAAAAUGACUGAUUAAGUAUGAGUUUGAAGGAAGAAGAGAUCAAAAAAGGAAUCCUGGAAGAAGGAGUGUCAGAAGGGGCCUUCAAGUAAAGAGGCACAGACUAUCCCUGCCUGGGGCUGCUCUGAUCAUUUUCCCAUUUCUUCUUCACAACAACCCAACAAUGAUUAUAGCAAUACUUACACCCAUUUUACAGAUGAGGAAGCUGAGACUCAGUCAGGUUAAGUUCUUUUUUUUUUUUUUAGAUGAUUUAAUUUAACCAAGGUCCCAUUGCCAAGAUGCAAAGGAGUUGGGACUUGAAAGCAAGUCUUCCUGAUGCCAAAGUCCAUGCUUUCACCAGUAUCUGGAGGCCCAACUUAAAUACCCUGCCAAGGGGAAAUCUUAUCAAACACUCCCAGAAUGUGUCCACUUGUUCCUUGGGACCUGCACGUUAUUCCAUCCCAGGAUCUUGCUUGCCCCCUACCUGCUGUGAGCUCUGGUCACAUGUGUCUAUGAAGGGUGUCAUCACAGCAUCACCUAUAUCUAUACCUGGCACAGGGCUUUGUAGGCUACCCCAGGUGUCUACUAAGGGAACUUUAACUCAAUUAAGCCCAAGAUCUCAAAAAUGCCCUCAGUGGAGGGCUGCUGUGAGGAUUCCAUGAAUGGAUGCUCACAAAGAGAUCUAGUUCAGUGUCUGGCACGCAGUGAGUACUCAUGGGAAGGGAAGGUUGCCAUUGGGCUAUUGAUUGUUACUUGUAUUUGACCAGACUCCCUUCCUGGAUUUGAAUUAAUUCCUAUUCCCAGAAAGAGGCAGAUAAGAAAUAGUCACACAGCCACAUAAAGGUUAAAACCAAGUUUCCCAAUUCCUGACUCCACAGGAAGUGCUCCAUGCCCCUGAGAAAACUACUCAGUCAAGAUUCAGAUCUGUGUCCUUUAACAACAUAAGAGCCCCUUGUGAUGAAAUAAUGCAGCUGCAACACCAUCACAGAACCACACAUGUACUUCCCAUCUUAUCCUGUCCUUGCCCUACUCCAGGUUCCUAAUCAGAAACUGAAUGUACCACAUCAGACUGGCCUGGAGUAUAUUUGAUUCUUUUUUUAUAAUUUCUAUUGCUAUACUAAGAUUUUAUACUUUUUUCAUUUAUUUCAAGAGACUUUGCAAUUACUUAUUAAAGCAUUUUUGUGGUGGCUACAUUAAAACCCUUGUCAGAUAAUUUCAACAUCUAAUUCAUCUUGGUGUUGGUAUCAGUUCAUUGUCUUAGGGUGAUUUUUUAUCAUAUUUUGGAUAUGUUGACUAUUAUGUUAGAAGGCUCUGAUGCCUACUUAAAUAUUUUAUUUUAGCAGGCAGUCAGUCUGUUUAGGUUUAGCAUGCAGGUCCUGGCCUACUUUCAAAGGCUGUGAUUCCAGUGACAAUUUAGUUUCAGAGCCUCUGUAGUGCUAUUUUGGUCUACUUGCUUCAUGUGGUGCUAAUGGAUCCACUCUGCCCUGCUGGUGCUACCUGAGGAAGCAGAGUCUUCCUCACACAGGGUUGCCUUGUGCCUCUAGGUGGGGGAAAUGAUUUUUCUAGUCUAUGGAAACAAAGAAUCUUCCUUGUCUCUGCUUGUUCUGGUGGGACUCCCCUGAAUUUGCUGCCUGCCUUCCUGAUAUCUCUCAGAGGAAGAGAGAAGCCUCAAGACAAUGAAGACAAACAGGCUUCCUGGGCCAGGCUACUUGUCAGGGUCAGGUUUCCCCUUGGUGGUACACUUGCCUGGAGAGUAUCUUUCAGUGGAGUAGGGGAGUCUCUGAUCUGGUGGGAAAGGACAGCACUUCCACCGGCUCCUUAUUGUCAGUGGGGCGCCUUGCUAAAUCCCACUUGCUGGAGCUGCUAGGCUUACCUGGUGGUGUCAGUAGGACUCCCAUUCAAUGCAGAGGAGAAAGUAACCUACAGAAACCAUUUUCUGUUGCUAGGUUUGGGGUUUGGGAAAUGCUGGGCCUGGGUUACACUCUGUCAUUGAGAGUCACAAGGUACCCUGCUAGUAUGGUGUUCCUCCAGUUCUGGGAUUCCUAAUCAUUCUGCCUUCCCCUUUACACCUUUUAGAAUUCUCCUGUGGCCACCUGUUGAAUUAUUUCCAGGGUUUUUGGUUGGACUUACCUGGGAGAGGCAGGGAGAAAUGAGUCUAUGCCAUCUUGCCAAGACUGGAAGUACAAGACCAAUUACGCAUCCGUGUCUGCUGCUGCUUCUCCUAGGAAUGAUUCAGACUUUCAUUUAUCAUCCUUUAUUUUAGGCAAAGAGAAGCUCAGAAGGCUUAGCUUUGGCUAAUAUAUCAAGUCCCUUGUUUUUUGUUUGCAUGUGCAUCCAUAUCUGUGUGUGUGUGUGUGUGUGUGUGUUUGAGAAGAAAAGUUAGCAGAGAUUAGCCCUGAAAUAACUGCAUUACAGUAGUCAGACACUCUGAUAGGAUAUUGAGUUAGCUGUGGAUUUGUCUUGCUGAUAAGAUACUCCUAUACCACUAUACUCACAGAAUCAUCAUAUUUUGAGAGUCAUAACAAUCAUAUUUUGGUGUUUCCAGAUAGGCUAAAGACAGAAAAUGUGAAAAAAACAUUCACCUGUCCAAACCCAAAAAAUGGACUUGGAGACAGGAAGAACAAUGGAAGGAAGACCUUUAAUGGUGGUCUUGCAAGAUUGGGUGUCUGGCAGGCAGGCACACCUGGGGCAGUUAGGGCAGAUAAUUUAUCUCCUAGCAUGCGAGUCCCUCCCGCAGUUCUUCACUGGUCGAGUGCUAUGGGGUUACAAUAGUACCAGAUGUCACCUAAGUUUUAUUAUCCCUUAUAAAGUUAUACCCCAGUCCCCUUCCCUGCUUAAGUUUCGAUUUCUCAAUAAUGAAACUUUCUUCCUUUUUAUGGGCUGACCCCUCCUCUACAUUCUGUCCCCUUAUCAUGACUUCCUAGGUACAUGAGCCAUGCGGUUUGUUACGUCCACAGCCUGGUUGCCAGUACUUAGAUUUAUCAUGCCUUGAAAAUGGGCCAUGUAAGAUGUUUUCUCACAAAUUUCCUCCCCUUUUCUAUUUACUUCCUUUGGUCUCAUUUUCAUCUAAACCCUGUUGGUCUUUGAAUCACUAUAGAAGUUGUCUACUUUCUUCCUCAUAGGAGAGUGAGUUUAAUUUAGUUUCUAAUAGUGGCAGGUUAUUAUGCUGGUAAGUCAUGGACAUUUGUUUAUUAAUAGCUGUUUCAAUUAAUCUCUGUGCUACUCCCCUCACACGAAGGAUAAUACAACAUCCCACUGCUGUUAAGACUACUGCCACAAUUAUGAGAGAUGUAAGGAUUGAAGCUACCAUGUCUUUCCAUAUUCCAAACCAACCUUCUAGCCAACCUGUAAAUGGGUCAUCAAUUCCACUAUUUUCUGCCAGUUUGUUGGCUAGAGUUGUCAGUCCUUGUAAAGUUUUUAUGAUGGUCCCAUCUGGGGCAGUAUUGUUGGGAAUGAAAGUACAUUUUCCACCCAGCAUAACACAUAUACCCCCUUUUACUCCUAGUAUGCCUAGUGCAAGCCUGUUUCCCAGGCCAUUCAGCUGGUGGCAUCUAACUAGCUACCCCUUUGAGGGCAUUCUGAGUAUAAGUGAUGAAUCUCUGUUGAUCAUAACAGAUGUAGUUAAUCCAAUCCACAUUCUUAUUAAUAGUUGAUCACCAGAAGAGUGCUGACUCAAACCCAGCAGCUAUUUGGCUUUGGGCCUUAAAUUUAUUAGAUAGCCUUCUGGGGACUCCUAAUGAGUCAAUAUAUAUAUUGGUAUCAAAAGAAUUUGUCCAAUCUCUCCAGUUUUGGUGGUCAUGUGUAUUUUUGGGUAUCUUAUGGAAUGCUAGGGUGAAGAGAAUGGCCAACUGGACUAUAGCACAAGUCCCAGACAGUAACUAACAGGUCAUAGAAGUAUCUUUUCCCAUAAUACCACCACACAUCAGCCCAGGGUAUAUGGGGAGCUGAGUAAUUGCCAUUGCCUGACUCACCAGUGAUGUUUAGGAUGUGGGUACAAAUUGAGAGUUCUCCCAUGGGCUUGUUGAACUCUGCUCCCUGCCUAGAGAGGCAAGAGGAGUGGUCUAUAUUCCCUAUAGAGAAAAAGGAAGGGGAUCGCUUUUGGAUCUGACCUCCACAAUGAGGGAAAGAGCAACGACAGGCUCUUACAAGUCUCAUUUCCACAUGCAUCCUUGUCCUGGUAUAGAGCCAACAUGCAACACAUUCCUUCAGGAUUGGUAUCCCAUCCUAGAGAAAAUGAAACCACCUGUGCCUGAGGUCAUCCCACAGCACAUACACGGCAAUUACUCUUUUUGAGGGCUUGUACCGAAAAUUUGACCCAUUCAACGCAGGCACUCACAUCCCUGUACCCUGUCUCAAUUUCUAAAGUUGGCCUUAAAUCCUUUACCUCAAUUAUUUCUACCCUUUUAGGGACAUUAUUUGGUGGACUAAAGUGUUUAUUUCCAUCAAUGACAGCAUAGCCAUUAUGCCUCUUGCCAUCUGUCACUUGGGACGAAACAUCCACAAACAGCCUUAUCCCAUCACGUAGUGGAGCUUCCCUAAGCUCUGGUCUAACUUUGGUUUGAUAUCUAAGCAGAUACAGUCUGAGGUCUCUUUGUUCUCCUCUCCUUUCCAUAGGAAACUGGCUGGAUUCAAGCAAGUAUCUGUUGUUACGACAAAAUCAUCUUUUUCUGGUAAUAUGACUUCAUGUUUUAGAAUCCAGGAAUCCGUUAACCACCUCCUGGUUUUUUGAUUUAAUAUAUUCCUGACCUGGUGUGGAGUGCUUACUAUUAGGGCCCUACCAAAUGUUAGCUUUUGAUGCUACCAGUAGGGCUGUGGCAGCUACUGCUUGCACACAUUUGGGCCACCCCCGAGAGAUAGGAUCGAGAAGCUUGGAGACAAAAGCAACAGGUUGCCUCUUCCCUCCCCAGGUUUUAGUGAGCACUCCAAGGCCACAUGCUGGUCUACUGUUACAAACAGAUGGAAUAGUUUCUCUAAAGAUGGGAGGUCCAGGACCGGGGCUGUAAUGAGGGCCUGCUUUAGCUCUUUCACUGCCUGAAUUUCCUCUGGGGACCAUUGCAAGGGAUCGGGUUCCUCCUCUAGUAACUUGAGAUACAGAAUUUUUGUCUUUUGAGCAUAUGAGUCAACCCGUAACCUACAGCAGCCAGUUGAACCUAAAAAUUUUUGGAGUUCUGCCUUUGCCUAAGAUAUUUUCUUUGGGUUUAUUCUCUACUUCCUUUCACUAAUCAGAUGUCCUAAAUAUUUAACUUCUUUUUCUACAAACUACAAUUUUUUCUUAGAGACUCACAAUCCCUUUCUCCUAGGAAAUUAAGCAAGCUUAUGGUGGUUUCUGAUACCUUGGCCCUCCUCUCCCCAGAAAUUAAAAGAUCAUCUACAUAUUAUAAUGACUGGGUUCCCCUGGUAGGUUGGAAUUCCUCCAGGACUUUUUCUAUGAUUUGACCAAAUACGUUUGGGGCUUCCGUGAAACCUUGUGGCAGCAAAGUCCAGCAGUACUGUUGUUUUCUCCCAGUUAUAGGAUUUUUCCAUUCAAAGGCAAAGAAGUCCCUACUCCUAAAAUCUAGGGGACAUGCCCAGAAUGUAUCUUUUAGAUCCACCACACCGAACCACUUAUGUUCACAGGGUAUCUUAUUAAGUAGGGUGUAGGGGUUAGGCACCACAGGGUGGUGGGUCUGGACAAUUUAAUUCAUAGCCCCUAAGUCUUGCACUAAUCGAUACAACCCAUCAGGCUUUUUGACUGAGAGAACUGGAGUAUUGUAUGGGGACAUGCAGGGUUCUAAUGGUCCAUCUUUAAUCAAUCCCUCUAUUACCUGUUGGAGACCUUUUCUCCCUUCAACAGAAAUAGGAUAUUGUUUUCUGAAAACUACUUCUCCUGGAUGUUUUAGUUUAAUCUGUAAGGGUGUGACUUUUAACCCUACCUUGUUGCCUUCCCUAACCCACACAAGGGGAUUAAUUUUUUUUCCUCUUCCUCUAUUAGGAGGCCCAUCAUUACUUUUAUUUGUCCUUCCUUUAUUUCUAUCCUAAACAUCCAAUCUCAUAAGCAGGUCUCAACCCAGGAGGUUAGUUCCUGCUUCAGGAACAUGUAAGAGUCCCAAACUAUUAACAUUUUCCUGAAUAUCGGAACAUGAAAUCCCUCCCCUUUUACCCCUGAUACUGUCAAUUUUUCCUUAGAGAGUUCUAUACCCCUUGGUUGGUGGAUUAGGGAGGAGCGAGCCAUCCCAGUAUCAACCAAAAAUGUUACUUCUUCAUCCUCGGGUCCCACCUUCAAAUUUAUCAAGGGUUCUUGGUGGGUCUUACUCAGAAGGAACCCCUGGCCCCACUAGUCUUCAUCAACGGUGGUGCCCCACUGACAAUAAGGAGCCAGUGGAAAUGCUGCCCUUUCCCACCAGAUCAUCAACGGUCAUGAAGGAGAUCACCUUUUCUUUUUUCCAUUCAAGACAUUCUCUCUUAAAAUGCCCUGGCUUUCCACACUUGUAACAUCCACUCAUAGUCUUAGGAGCUUUUCCCUGCAUUUCCCUUCUUUCUCUGUGUUGAAAUCUAUUAUUCUAUUGUUCAAGAGGUAUCUUGAUCUAACCUUUUUCUGACUACCUCUUCCACAGUGGAAACCAUGCUUUUCGUCUUUGUUUCUGCUUCUCUUCCUCUCUCCUUACAAAGACCUUCUGAGCUUUCCUCAGUAAUUCCUCAAUUGGUUUCUCAUCCCAUUCAUCACUCUUUUGUAAUGUCAGGCCAGCUCUUAGUUACACAGUUAACCUUCAAAAGGUCUUGUCUUGCUGGGUCCUCCAGAUCUAAUCUGGAGUAUUUUCUCAGGAGCCUCUGCAGGAAUGCAGAGGGAGUUUCCUCUUUUUCUUGUUGAAUCUUGAAUGCCUUUGAGAGAUUUUGUGUCCUAGGAGUGGACUCUUUGAUCUCUUUAAUUAUUAGUUCCCCGAGGUCCUGCAUUUGGGCCCAGUCCCUGGGAUUGUUAUUAUCCCACUUGGGAUCAACAUUUGAAAAUUUUUGUUUGGCUGGCAAGACUCCUUGCCCAGGAGGGUGCUGCCUCUCCCAGACAGUCAUGGCCACUCUGCCAAUCAUUCCUCUUUCUUUUCCUGUGAACAGGGUAUUCAUGAUAGACAUCAUUUCAGCCCAGGUGUAAAAGCUGGGUCCUAGGAAUUGGUCCAGCUGGUCUGCUAAACCAAGGGGAUCUUUUAGGAGCGGUUUCAUUUCCUUCUUGAAAUUCCUAACUUCAGUACUUGUAAGAGGAACAUAUACAAAGCCAGUCUCUUCCUGUCCCCUGGGAACUUCCAAGAGGGAGCAUGCUAGAUGCCUGCUGUGUGUGACUACUAAGUGCUUGAAAUGUAGCUAGUACAAUUAGGGAACUGAAUAUUGUACUUACUUUUUUUUUUUUUUGAGACAGAGUCUUGCUCUGUCACCCAGGUUGGAGUGCAGUGGCGCCAUUUUGGCUCACUGCAACCUCUGCCCCCCGGAUUCAAGCAACUCUUCUGUCUCAGCCUCCCGAGUAGCUGGGAUUAUAGGCAUGUAUCACCAUGCCCGGCUAAUUUUUGUAUUUUUAGUGGAAACGGGGUUUCACCAUGUUGGCCAGGCUGGUCUCAAACUGCUCCUGACCUCAAAUGAUCCACCCAACUCAGCCUUCCAAAGUGCUGGGAUUACAGGCGUGAGCCACUGUGCCCAGUCUACUCUUAAUUAGUUUAUAUUUAAAUUGAAAAAUCCACAUGUAGCUAAUGGCUACUGUAUUAGACAGUUUUCUACCAUUAAAAAUAAUGUGGAUAGGGUGACUAUGAACAUACUCAUUCAUUAAAUUGUUCAAUGCUAGAAAACUAGCUUGUCAAAAACAGUCUAUGCCAAAUUAAAGAAAUACCAACACCUCUCUGGAGAUCAGAUUUCUUAUAACCUCUGCCAUAAUAUAACUAAAAACCUAGAUGAGAAAAAUCAUCUAAGCAGCAUGAAAAAUUGCUGUCAUAAAACCCAUGAACUUUACUUCAUAGGAGAUACAUGGAGUCAGUCCUUAGUCAAACAGCUAUACAUUAGAAGAACCAAGAAUACGUUGAUCUCAGAACUUCUUCAAAAGCACAAAAAUCCAGAACACACUUAGGGAAAAGACAUAGGGAAGACAUAUUCCUACAUGCCUCAGAAGUCCAGGGAAAAAGCAGAUUAUCAUAAUGACCAUCUGAGUCACAAGACAAGGUUAUAUUAUGUUCUGAAUCAUCUGUUUAAGAAGGCAAAGCAGGCCAGGCACAGUGGCUCAAGCCUAUAAUCCCAGCACUUUGGGAUGCCGAGGUGGGCAGGUCACUUGAGGUCAGGCGUUCAAGACCAGCCUAGCCAACAUGGUAAAACCUCAUCUCUAAUAAAAACACAAACAUUAGCCGGGCAUGGUGGUGGGCAUCUGUAAUCCCAGCUACCUGGGAGGUUGAGGAACAAGAAUCACUGGAACCUGGGAGGCAGGGGUUGCAGUGAGCCAAGAUCGCUACCGUACUCCAGCCUGGGUGACAGAAUGAGACUCUGUCUCAAAAAAAGAAGGCAAAGCAGUGAAUAACUCAAUAUUUAAAAAAAAAAAACCUAAACAGAAGGAAUGGGUAAAUGCAAAACAAAACAAAAAGCUAUCUUUCCACUUCCAUAGAAAACCCCUUCUUUUAGGGUUCUAGCCACUAUGCUAUACCAUCUACUCCAGCUCCUUGUCAGUUACUUAUGCACUGGAUUGAUCUGCACCACAUGGUCGAUAAAUUAUUUCAAAUCUUCUCUCACCAUUACCAUCCACAUUCUUCUCACUUCCAAAUCUAGAUCAAGUGAAUUGAUCCACCAUCACUGUUUCUAUUUCCAGGCUUCUAAGCCCUGGUGGAAGAAAUAACACAAUGAUAUAGGCAGGAACAUCUUGAAAAGCAUGGUUUCCGUGGAAAACUGUGCAGCAGUUAAAUAUGUAAGAUACCGGCUGGGCACAGUGGCUUGUGCCUGUAAUCCCAGCAAUUUGGGAGGCCAAGGUGGGUGGAUCACUUGAGGUCAGGAGUUUGAAACCGGCCUGGCUAACAUGGCAAGACCCUGUCUCUACUAAAAAUACAAAAAUUCACCAGGCAUGGUGGUGGAUGCCUGUAAUCCCAGCUACUUGGGAGGCUGAGGCAGGAGAAUCACUUGAACCCGGGAGAUGGAGGUUGCAGUGAGCUGAGAUCAUGCCACUGCAUUCCAGCCUGGGCUACAGAGCGAGAGUGAGAUGCCAUCUCAAAAAAAAAAAAAAAAAGUAAGAUAUCUAUACAUGCUGGUACAGAAAAAUAUUCCAUACACAUUAAAUGAAAAAGCAUGUGAUAUCACACCCCCUAGUAUGGCUAUAAUCAAAAGGACAGAUACUAACAACUGUUGAAAAAGAUGUAGAGAAACUGGAAGCCUCAUGUACUGCUGGUGGAAACGUAAAAUGGAUUAGCCACUUUGAAAAACAAUCCAGAAGUUCCUCAAAAUGUUAAACAUAGGGUUACCAUAUGACCCAGCAAUUCUACUCCUAGAUACAUUACCCAAAGACAUGAAAAUAUCUGUCCACACAAAAACUGGAACAUGAAUACUCAUAGCCAUGUUAUUUAUAAUAGCCAAAAAGUAGAAACUACCCAAAUGUCCAAAUGAUGAAUGGAUAAACAAAAUGUAGUAUAUCCACACAAUGGAUAUACCAAGAGCAAGUUCCGGGUUGUUUUUUUUUUUCCUUUUUGUUUUGUUUUUUGCCUAUUGCCCAGGCAGGAAUGCAGUAGCACAAUCAUAGCACUCUUCAGCCUUGACCUUCCAGGCUCAAACAAUCCUCCCACUUCAGCCUCCUGGGUAGCUUGGACUAUAGGUACACACUGCUAUAUCCAGCUAAUUUUUUUGUAUUUUGUAGAGACAGGGUUUUGCCAUGUUGCCCAGAUUGGUCUUAACUCCUGAGCUCAAGUGAUCCACCUGCCUCAGCCUCCCAAAGUGCUGAGAUUACCAGCAUGUACUACCAUGCCUGGCCUCCAAGAGCAAUUUUAUUCAGCAAUAAAAAGAAUGAAGUUCUGAGUCGUGCUACAACAUAGAUGAACCUUGAAAACACUGUGAUAAGUAAAGUAAGCCAGUCACAAAGAUCACAUAUUCUUUCAUUAAUAUGAAAGUCCAGAAUAGGGAAAUCUAUAGCGACUGAGAGUAGAUUAGUGGUUGCUAAGGGUUGAGGGAUAAGGAGGCGAUAGCUAAAGGAUACAGGGUUUCUUUCUGGGGUGAUGAAAACGUUCUAAAAAUUGACUAUGGCAGUGGUUGCACACAUUCAUGAAUAUACUAAAAACAACUGAACUGUACACUUUAAAUGUGUGAAUUGCGUAAUGUGCAAAUUAUAGCUCAAUAAAGCUGUUAUUUUUUAAAAAGCAAGUGAUAGAAUAAUACAUGUACUAUGAGCUCAUUUAUAUAAAAACCAAAACUACAUAUGCACGUAAUAUAAACAUUUGUGAAUGUAUGUAAAUAUAUAGAACAUGAUUUGGAAGGAUACCCACCCAUCUGUUAGCAUUGGUUGCUUCUGGGGAGAAAAGUAGGCUUGCCUUCUGUAACAUCACACUUUGCUGUUUCUCCUCCUACCACCCUGGUUAUUCCUCCAAAUUGCUUUGUAGGCAUUCUUUCCUCUACUCGUUCCUUUACAAACCACAUUUAACUCUUCAGGCUCUCCUUGAGGUGAUCAUAUGAUCAUAUACUUCCCAUGGUUUCAACAACUCCCGUCCAUAUCCUGACUCAUUCAUUCAACAAAUAUCCACUGAACACUUACUAAGUACCAUGCUAGUCGGUAGACAUUCAGCAGGACGAAGGCAAAUAAGGUUGCCAUCUCAUGAAGUUUAUAUUCUAGUGGUAUUGAAGAUAUAUAAUAAUAAGCAAAACAAUAAAUGAACAGACAAUUUCAGAUAAUGUUAGUCAUAGGGAGAAAAUAAAGCAGGAUGAUGGGCAGGCGCCACAGCCGUGCUGAGCACCAUGUGUCGCACCAUGCCCCAUGCUGCCAUCCACUGCACACGUUGCUCCCUGCCACCCGAGGCCCAUGUGCUUGCCAUGUCCUGUCCACCACCACUGCAGGCCGCGUUGGGUGUCCCGGCCAGGCCCGUCAUGGUGCUGGGCACCAUGGAGAUGGGGCACUGCAUGGAUACAUCUGCCAGCACCGCAGCAGUGCAUGCCUUCCUGGAGUGCAGCCACACCAAGCUGGACACGGCCUUCAUGUACAGUCUGAGACCAUCCUGGGCGGCCUGGGGCUGGGACUGGGCAGCAGUGACUGCAGAGUGAAAUUUGUCACCAAGGCCAACCCUUGGGAUAGAAAAUCACUAAAGCCUGACAGUGUAUGGUCCCAACUGGAAACGUCAUUGAAGAGGCUGCAGUGUCCCCAAGUGAACCUCUUCUACCUACAUGCACCUGACCACAGCAUCACAGUGGAAGAGACUCUGUGUGUCUGCCACCAGCUGCACCAGGAGAGAAAGUUCGUUGAGCUUGGUCUCUCCAACUAUGCCACCUGGGAAGUGAUCAAGAUCUGUACACUCUGCAAGAGCAAUGGCUAGAUCCUGCCCACUGUGUACCAGGGUUGUACAAUGCCACCACCCGGCAGGUGGAAACGGAGCUCUUCCCCUGUCUCAGGCACUCUGGACAGAGGUUCUAUAUGAGAACAAGGACAGGAAACAGCCCGUGGGUCGCUUCUUUGUGAAUAGCUGGGCUGAGACCUACAGGAAUUGCUUCUGGAAGGAGCAUCAUUUCGAGGCCACUGCCCUGGUGGAGAAGGCCGUGCAGGCUGCAUAUGGUGCCAGUGCCCCUAGUAUGACCUCAGACACCCUCCAGUGGAUGUACCACCACUCACAGCUGCAGGGUGCCCAGAGAGACGUGGUCAUCCUGGGCAUGUCCGGCCUGGCGCAGCUGGAGCAGAACUUGGCAGUGGCAGAGGAAGGGCCCAUGGAGCCGGCUGUUGUGGACACCUUUAAUCAAGCCUGGGAUUUGUUUCCCCAUGAAUGUCCCAACUACUUCUGCUAGGCCCAUCGUGGCUCAGGCUGCCCAAGGCUUUUCUGUCACCUCUUUUGUUCUCUCAUGCUGACCAGUCUUAGCAGGGUCUUUCUGGAUCGUCGGGAUGCAUGUUAUUUUUCUAGCUUCCUGCCUUGCUCCCUGUUCACUUUAUACUGUGAAAGGUGGGGAUGGGUCCCACUUGAGCAUUUCCUGUUGAAUAAAGCAGGCAUUUGACCUGGACACAGCCCAGGUCUUGAGUGAACUGCCCCCCCUUCAAAAUAAAUAAAAGAAAAACAAAACCAGGGUGAUGUGAUGAGAUACUGAUCAGAGUAGGGGGCUACUAAGUUGGGAUGACCAGGGAAAGCCUCUCUGAGGAGCUGACCCUAGAGCUGAGAUGUGGAUGAUGAGAAAGAUGAUGAGAGAACAUUUUACACAGGGUGCAAAGGCCAUGAAGAGAGAACAAAUUAUAGCUGGAAGCAUCUCAAACAAACAACAUAGUAUAGGAUAAGAUCAGAUAUUUUGGUAGGGGCUGCUCUAUCUUAUUAGGUCAAAGUAAAGAGCUUGGACAAUGUACAAAAUGCAACUAGAAGCCAUUGGAGGUUUUGAAACAGGCAGUGUCCCAGUCUGUUUUACAUUGCUUUAACAGAAUACCACAGACUAGGUAAUUCAUAAUAAACAGAAAUUUGUUUGGCUCAUUGUACUGGAGACUGGGAAGUCCAAGAACAUGGAGCCUUCACACUGCAUUAUGCCAUAAUGAAAGGUGGAAGGACAAGAGAGGGUAUGAGUGAGGGAACAGGAAGAACCAAACUUGCUUUUAUAACACAGCCACUCUUGCAAUAACUAACCCACUCCUGAGAUAAUGACAUUAAUCUAUUAAUGAGGGUAGAGCCCUCAUGACCUAAUCACUUCUUUUUUUUGAGAUGGAGUCUUGCUCUGUCACCCAGGCUGGAGUGCUGUGGUGUGAUCUCAGCUCAUUGUAACCUCCACCUCUCGGGUUAAAGCAAUUCUCCUGCUUUAGCCUCCGAAGUAGCUGGGACUACAGGCAUGUGUCACCAUGCCCGGCUACUUUUUGUAUUAUUAGUAGAGACAGGGUUUCACCACAUUGGCCAGGCUGAUCUUGAACUCCUGACCUCAUGAUCCACCUGCCUCGGCCUCCCAAAGUGCUGGGAUUACAGGUAUAAGCCACCACACCCGGCCAACCUCAUCACUUAUUAUUAUGUCCCACCUCCCAAUACUGUUCCAUUCGGAAUUAAGUUUCCAACACAUGAACAUUAGGGGACACAUUCAAACCAUGGCAUUCUACUCUGGCCUCCAAAAUUCAUGUCCUCACAAUGCAAAAAUACAUUUAUUCCAUUGCAGUGGCCCCAAAAUUCUUUUUUGCUACUUUUUCUGUAUAUUUUUCUUUUUUAAAAAAAAAUUUUACUUUUAA